GUAGGUGAACCUGCGGAAGGAUCAUUAGCGAAGCUCGGAAUGCGUGUUCGGUCUGAAGCUGCCCGGCAACGGGACGUGCUCGGCUGAAUGCGUGUCCCUUCUCUAUUCCACCCCUUUGUGAACCAAGUGUGCGAGCCGAAGAGAGAUCGGAGGCUCGCAUGCAACCCUUAACAUACCCCAAUGAAGUAUCAGAAUGUACCUUGCGUUAACUCGCACAAAUACAACUUUCAACAACGGAUCUCUUGGCUCUC
rnacentral:misc_RNA from 1 species